UCUCCGUUGGUGAACCAGCGGAGGGAUCAUUACAGGGCUCGCAAGACUCCUACAACCCUGUGAACUUAACUAUAAGCACGUUGCUUCGGCGGGUGUCUCGGAGGGGGUUCUCCCUCCCCGAGACGCUAAACCCGCCGGCAGCCUACUAUACUCUGUCUCUUUGCGUUGGCAUCUCGAGUACAAUCAAACAAGUUAAAACUUUCAACAACGGAUCUCUUGGUUCU
rnacentral:misc_RNA from 1 species